rnacentral:rRNA from 1 species
GGAUUAGAUACCCUGGUAGUCCACGCCGUAAACGAUGAGAACUAGAUGUCGGGAGGGUCUGCCUUUCGGUGUCGCAGCUAACGCGUUAAGUUCUCCGCCUGGGGAGUACGCCGGCAACGGUAAAACUCAAAGGAAUUGACGGGGACCCGCACAAGCGGUGGAGCAUGUGGUUUAAUUCGAUGCAACGCGAAGAACCUUACCUGCCCUUGACAUCCUCAGAACUUGUUAGAGAUAACUUGGUGCCUUCGGGAAUUGAGUGACAGGUGCUGCAUGGCUGUCGUCAGCUCGUGCCG